rnacentral:rRNA from 1 species
UACGAAGGGUGCAAGCGUUAAUCGGAAUUACUGGGCGUAAAGGGUGCGUAGGCGGUUCGUUAAGUCUGUCGUGAAAUCCCCGGGCUCAACCUGGGAAUGGCGAUGGAUACUGGCGAGCUAGAGUGUGUCAGAGGAUGGUGUAAUUCCCGGUGUAGCGGUGAAAUGCGUAGAGAUCGGGAGGAACAUCAGUGGCGAAGGCGGCCAUCUGGGACAACACUGACGCUGAAGCACGAAAGCGUGGGGAGCAAACAGG